UAAAUGGUCAUUUCAUCUAC
rnacentral:siRNA from 1 species